rnacentral:misc_RNA from 1 species
AUGGCAUUUUUCAUGUGUUACGUGCAUUUGAAGAUCCAGAUAUUAUUCAUGUUGAUGACUCUGUGGAUCCGGUGAGAGAUCUAGAGGUUAUUGGUAAUGAGUUACGACUAAAGGAUAUUGAAUUCAUGGAUAGAAGAGUAGAGGAUCUUGAGAAGAGCAUGAAGAGGAGCAACGACAAGCAUUUAAAAAUAGAGCACGAGUUGUGUGAAAGGGUUAAGGCAUGGCUUGAGGGGGGUAAAGAUGUUCGCCUAGGAGACUGGAA